rnacentral:rRNA from 1 species
GUAACUGNGAGUGAAGCGGGAAAAGCUCAAAUUUAAAAUCUGGCGGUCUUUGGCCGUCCGAGUUGUAAUCUGGAGAAGCGUUUUCCGCGUCGGACCGUGUACAAGUCUCUUGGAACAGAGCGUCAUAGAGGGUGAGAAUCCCGUCCAUGACACGGACUACCGAUGCUUUGUGAUACGCUCUCGAAGAGUCGAGUUGUUUGGGAAUGCAGCUCAAAAUGGGUGGUAAAUUCCAUCUAAAGCUAAAUAUUGGCGAGAGACCGAUAGCGAACAAGUACCGUGAGGGAAAGAUGAAAAGCACUUUGGAAAGAGAGUUAAACAGUACGUGAAAUUGUUGAAAGGGAAACGCUUGAAGUCAGUCGCGUCGUUCGGGACUCAGCCUUGCUCUUUUGCUUGGUGUACUUCCCGUCCGACGGGUCAACAUCGAUUUUGGCCGGCGGAUAAAGGCGGGGGGAAUGUGGCACCUUCGGGUGUGUUAUAGCCCUCUGUCGCAUGCGUCGGCUGGGAUCGAGGACCGCAGCGCGCCACUAGGCCGAGAGGUACGCCUUUACGUUCCGCGCUUAGGAUGUUGGCAUAAUGGCUUUAAGCGACCCGUCUUGAAACACGGACCAAGGAGUCUAACAUGCUCGCGAGUGUUAGGGUGGAAAACCCUUGCGCGUAAUGAAAGUGAAAGUUGGGACCCUUGUCAUGAGGGGCACCGACGCCCGGCCCGGACCUUUUGCGAUGGUGCUGCGGUAGAGCGCGUAUGUUGGGACCCGAAAGAUGGUGAACUAUGCCUGAAUAGGGCGAAGCCAGAGGAAACUCUGGUGGAGGCUCGUAGCGAUUCUGACGUGCAAAUCGAUCGUCAAAUUUGGGNAUAGGGGCGAAAGNCUAAU